GGUUGUAGGAUGCCUUUGUGUAUGCAGUGGCUCUAGGUGACUGGCAGCCACACUCUGGGCCCUAAACUUCUGGAGGAAGAUACAGGAUAGGGAGGAACUCAGGGGUGAGUCAUGGUGGGGACAAGACAUUCCCUCACUCUAAGACCUUGUCACUAGAUUGGAACGUCUCUUGCCUCCCUACACCUGACCUGAUGGUUCUGGAGAGAUACGUCCUUGCAGCUUCUGAGUCCCAGCACUAAGCAGCCUUCGGGAAGAAAAGUCAGAAGACCAGGACCUCCAGGGCCUCAAGGACAAACCCCUCAAGUUUAAAAAGGUGAAGAAAGAUAAGAAAGAAGAGAAAGAGGGCAA
rnacentral:sRNA from 1 species